AAAAUAAAAAUUGUAACUGUUUAUUUAUUAAAAACUUUUAAUAAAAGAAAAAAUGAUCCUUUAAUAAAGAUUAAAAGAUUAAGUUACUUUAGGGAUAACAGCGUAAUCUUUUUUGAGAGUUCAUAUCGACAAAAAGACUUGCGACCUCGAUGUUGAAUUAAGAAAUCCUUUUGGUGCAGCAGUCAAAAAG
rnacentral:rRNA from 1 species